rnacentral:lncRNA from 1 species
AGUCUGCAGGCCAGGCUUACAGACUAGAAGCUGUGGCAAGUUAGGUCUUGCUGAAGGUGCAUAUGAAGAUUGAAGAGCAGAGACUCAAGGAUCCUCUCACACCACCAUGAUGAUGAUGUCUUCUAAUUACUACAAAUUCUUAACCCCAUAUGCUCAUUCUGGCCAAGUCUCUUCUCAUUUUUACCGCUAUGAUUCCUGCUGAGGAAAGAUUCAUGCAGUCAAGAAGGGGAUUCUACUAAAAAAUACCAGUGCUAGAGGCAAAUUCUUGUUUUAUUUGGUAGGAAAGGAGGUGUAAAGCUAAGAAGAGAGUGCCUUGAGUGAUCCAAAAUAGCAGAAACUCCAAAACAGAUUUUCUUUUG